rnacentral:sRNA from 1 species
CUACCACGGCAGCCACAAGCACAACUCCCAAAGCGACCACAAAUAGCUUGAAAGACGAGUCUGACACUACACAAAUAGAUGACAAUGUGAUUCACAGAUUCAGUGAAUAACUCAAGCUUCAAAGUUAACAUAUUUGGUUUCGAAGUCUUAACGUGGAUUGUGCUCAGUACACACACAAUACGCUUUAUUUAUUUUGUUUUGUUACUGAUACGUUAUUGAUAAGUUAGUUAUGAGUUUAAAUGAUUUCAAAUAUGCUUUUAUCAUGUCUCAGUUAUUGAGUAGCUUUUGAUUGUAUUCCAUUAUCCAUUAAUUUUUUUUUCUUAAUUAUGUAAAUAUCAAUAAAUAAUAUUUUGACUGUGA